rnacentral:rRNA from 1 species
UACGUAGGGUCCGAGCGUUGUCCGGAAUUACUGGGCGUAAAGGCCAGUAGGCGGCCAACUAAGUCCGACGUGAAAUCCCCAGCUUAACCUGGGAACUGCGUCGGAUACUGGAUGGCUUGAAUUCGGGAGAGGGAUGCAGAAUUCCAGGUGUAGCGGUGAAAUGCGUAGAUAUCUGGAGGAACACCGGUGGCGAAGGCGGCAUCCUGGACCAACACUGACACUGAGGAGCGAAAGCCAGGGGAGCAAACGGG